rnacentral:lncRNA from 1 species
AUGGGAUUUAAGGUCCCUUCCUACUCAAACCUUUCUGGGAUUCUGUGGGGAUUUUUUUUUAAUAAAAAGCAUAUAAAAGAUCAUAUUGUCCCCACCUCCACCCCCCAUGCAAUGUUUUUGUUCCAUAAAUCUAAAGAGGGUUUUGGGGUUUGUUUGUCUGGUUGUUUUCCAGAGCCAAUUUUGCCUCAUGUUCCCAGGAUGGAGCCCCUGGAAGAGCCCCCAGCAGAGCCUCCCGUACUGGAAACCCCCCAGAAGUUCUUCCUGCGGGUGAAGUGGCAACUGCUGCAGCAGCAGCAAGCUAGGACACCUUCAACCCACACCCAGCAGAAUGUUCCUCCUCCCACAACUGCAGAGAAUCCCUCAGUGCAGCCUGCUGGUGCUGAGCAGCCAGGGAACCAGCCUGCCCAGGAUAUGGACUCUGAUAAGGACGAUGUGGAUGUUUUCCUGGUGGAAUCCAUAGAAGUAGAUGGUGAUGGAGAAAUGUCUCAAAGUACAGUGGCUACUCCUUUGCAAGUGAACUCCACCCCUUGGGAAAAGAGGGAUCGGGUAAGAGGAAGGUGGAGAAAUGGAGAAUGUAGAGAGCUUCAUGAAGACAGGAGAGAGCUGCAGCCCAGCAAAAAACCAGCUGCUCCAGCAGUGGAAAAGGCACCAGAGGCUAGUCCUGGAAAGCCUUCCAAGCGCUUCUGUAGCAUCAUGCUCUGCUCUCCAGUCCAAAUCCCAAGGAAGCAGAAGCUGGCAGAAGAACCCAAGGCCCCUUUGGAUAAACCUCCUACUGAUCAACUUGCUGGCAAAGCGCACAAAGAGAAAAACAUCUGCCUGAACAGCUGGAGGAUUAAAGUGCUGCCUGGAAACAUGGCAAUCUCUGUGUGUGGGAAAAGGAAGGACACGAAUCAGCUGUGGCACAGCACCGCCGUCACCGAGCGCGUCACUCGCAACCAGGUGCAGACCUCCUCGGGAACUGUCUACCUGCUGCAGGGCAAGAUAGACACAGCUGCCAUGAGGAAGGAGGGUGAGCUGCUGGUUCUGAAUGCCUUACAAAUUACAGACUCUUUCAGCUUGCUUUGGAGCACGUGGGGUUUGUAA